rnacentral:rRNA from 1 species
GGAGGAAAGCAGGGGAUCGCAAGACCUCGCGCUAUUGGAGCGGCCGAUGUCCGAUUAGCUAGUUGGUGAGGUAAAGGCUCACCAAGGCAACGAUCGGUAGCUGGUCUGAGAGGAUGAUCAGCCACACUGGGACUGAGACACGGCCCAGACUCCUACGGGAGGCAGCAGUGGGGAAUUUUGGACAAUGGGCGCAAGCCUGAUCCAGCCAUGCCGCGUGAGUGAAGAAGGCCUUCGGGUUGUAAAGCUCUUUCGGCCGGAACGAAAUCGACCGGGCUAAUACCCCGGUUGUAUGACGGUACCGGAAGAAGAAGCACCGGCUAACUACGUGCCAGCAGCCGCGGUAAUACGUAGGGUGCAGGCGUUAAUCGGAAUUACUGGGCGUAAAGCGUGCGCAGGCGGCUUCCUAAGUCAGAUGUGAAAUCCCCGGGCUUAACCUGGGAACUGCGUUUGAAACUACAAAGCUAG